CUACGGGAUGCACCAGUGAGGAAUAUUGCACAAUGGAGGAAACUCUGAUGCAGCAACGCCGCGUGGAGGAUGACGCAUUUCGGUGUGUAAACUCCUUUUAUAUGUCAAGAAAAUGACGGUAGCAUAUGAAUAAGCUCCGGCUAACUCCGUGCCAGCAGCCGCGGUAAUACGGAGGGAGCAAGCGUUACUCGGAAUCACUGGGCGUAAAGGACGCGUAGGCGGGAUAGAAAGUCAGGUGUGAAAUCCUAUGGCUCAACCAUAGAACUGCACUUGAAACUUCUAACCUAGAGUAUGGGAGGGGAAGAUGGAAUUAGUGGUGUAGGGGUAAAAUCCGUAGAUAUCACUAGGAAUACCAAAAGCGAAGGCGAUCUUCUGGAACAAUACUGACGCUAAGGCGUGAAAGCGUGGGGAGCAAACAGGAUUAGAUACCCCCGUAGUC
rnacentral:rRNA from 1 species